rnacentral:rRNA from 1 species
AAUAGAUACCCUGGUAGUCCACGCCCUAAACGAUGUCAACUAGUUGUUGGGGGAUUCAUUUCCUUAGUAACGUAGCUAACGCGUGAAGUUGACCGCCUGGGGAGUACGGUCGCAAGAUUAAAACUCAAAGGAAUUGACGGGGACCCGCACAAGCGGUGGAUGAUGUGGAUUAAUUCGAUGCAACGCGAAAAACCCUUACCUACCCUUGACAUGGUCGGAACCCUGCUGAAAGGUGGGGGUGCUCGAAAGAGAACCGGCGCACAGGUGCUGCAUGGCUGUCGUCAGCUCGUGUCGUGAGAUGUUGGGUUAAGUCCCGCAACGAGCGCAACCCUUGUCCUUAGUUGCUACGCAAGAGCACUCUAAGGAGACUGCCGGUGACAAACCGGGAGGAAGGUGGGGAUGACGUCAAGUCCUCAUGGCCCUUAUGGGUUAGGGCUUCACACGUCAUACAAUGGUCGGAACAGAGGGUUGCCAAGCCGCGAGGUGGAGCCAAUCCCGAGAAAACCCGAUCGUAGUCCGGAUCGCAGUCUGCAACUCGACUG